rnacentral:rRNA from 1 species
UUGCGGCCAUAUCACAUUGAAACACCGUUUCACGUACGAUCACCGAAGUUAAGCAACGUCGAGCUUGGUCAGCACCUAGAUGGGUGACCGCUCGGGAUUACCAGGCGCUGUAA